UAGGGAAUCUUCGGCAAUGGGGGGAACCCUGACCGAGCAACGCCGCGUGAGUGAAGAAGGUUUUCGGAUCGUAAAGCUCUGUUGUUAAGGAAGAACGAGUGUGAGAAUGGAAAGUUCAUACUGUGACGGUACUUAACCAGAAAGGGACGGUUAACUACGUGCCAGCAGCCGCGGUAAUACGUAGGUCCCGAGCGUUGUCCGGAUUUAUUGGGCGUAAAGCGAGCGCAGGCGGUUAGAUAAGUCUGAAGUUAAAGGCAGUGGCUCAACCAUUGUAGGCUUUGGAAACUGUUUAACUUGAGUGCAGAAGGGGAGAGUGGAAUUCCAUGUGUAGCGGUGAAAUGCGUAGAUAUAUGGAGGAACACCGGUGGCGAAAGCGGCUCUCUGGUCUGUAACUGACGCUGAGGCUCGAAAGCGUGGGGAGCGAACAGG
rnacentral:rRNA from 1 species